GGGCCGAGGGGCCGCCUUCUCGCCCCGUGGCCGACCGCGCGGGGCAUGGCCGCCGCCGGGCCGCGCUUUCUGCCGCUUUUCUUCCUUGCUGGCGGGUGGUGCUCCCCGCCGCCGGCCGCGCCCGCCUGCCGCUUGUCUCGCCCCGGGAGAGCCCGGUCUUGGAAGAGUUGAGGCGGGAGGAGGUGUUCCUGGCAUGAUCAAGCCCCAAAAUACAGUCACGUUACUUGCUUCACCCGUGAAGAAGGAGCUGCCAAAUUGAAACGAAUAGAUGCUUAUUAAUACCUCAGAAGCGGGAUCCCUGGGUGGCGCAGCGGUUUGGCGCCUGCUUUGGCCCAGGGCGCGAUCCUGGAGACCCGGGAUCAAAUCCCAUAUCGGGCUCCUGGUGCAUGGAGCCUGCUUCUCCCUCUGCCUGUGUCUCUGCCUCUCUCUCUCUGUGUGACUAUCAUAAAUAAAUGAAAAUUAAAAAAAAAAAAUACCUCAGAAGCAUUACUGCUCCCCAGCCAGCUGCAACCCACAGAAUAUUUAGGGGCCCAUUGCAUUUACUCUGGAGAGAGGUGUGUGCCUGUGAUCCAUGCCCUGUGGUCAGUGCUUCGGAAGUGAGAAUGCUCCAGGCUUAUCGAGAUCUUGCAAUGGCCCUGGGGCGUCUGACUCCUGGCCCUAUGCUUCCCCACUGCUCCCUGCUCCCGUCUGAGCUCAUUUCUUCAUCUGUACAGUGGGGAGGACGAUGCUUUGAGCAGAAUAAGGAGGAAGCGAGGCCACGUGUUGAGUAUGGCAGCCAGCCGUUGUUGGAACCAAAGUCCGCACGGUCCUGGAGCUGCGACAGGCGUCACCGGCCAGGGCUGCUCUGCGUAUUAUGCAUCUAGAACAGAUGGAGGGCCCAGAGUUAGCAAGUUAGGGAGGACUUGGAGGGUUAACCAGGUUGGGAGCCCGCUGGAGAAGUGGACAGGAAAUUAAUGCCUUCAGCUCAGUCUUCCUUCCUCCCUUUGCCACACUGCUCCCCACCCCUGCCCCCCAGGACAGGUGCAGCAGCAACAUGAAACAAACUCAACCGGUUUUAAGCAGAUUUAAACAAUCAGAACAGGCUCAGGAGGCUUAGAGGCCCCUGCCUCAACAGGCAGUAACUUUUUUUUUUUUUUUUUUUUAAAGAUUUCUUUGAGAGAGAGGACAGAGGGAAAGAGAGUCCUCACGCCAGGGAGCCUGACCUGGGGUUCAUCCCAGGACCUGAGCCAAAAUCAGGAGUUGGCUUUGCAACAGGCUGAGCCACCUAGACACCUCCAGGCAUGAAUUUUUCAAUUGUUUGAGUUUGGGACGGUCUCGGGGAGGCCUGGAGUACCUGGGCAUUUGGGGCAAUUGGGGGCCUUAGGGAUGUGGCUAUUUACCAAUCCGUAGCGGACAUCCAGUUGGGGCCCUGUCAGAGCAUCCCCGCUGAAAAUCUGCCUGUUUAGGGAGCAUGGGGCUUCAGUCCAGGCCCUGGCAUGUGAACGACAGGAUCUCCUCUGAGAGCUGGGGUCUCCCAGUGAAGCCUCGGCUUCCCGGGGCCCCUGGACAUUUGAGUGGCACCUGUAUGGAACUUUGCUAGGUGUGCAGGUCUGCCCAUCUUAGACUUGGGGAAAUCUUUCCCCUUCCCUGUUCCUAGCUGACACAUUUCCUGUCUGCUCGCUCUCCACACCAGUGCUCCCCUCUUUCGCAACACCUUACUGGUGAAUUCAGCCCUGACACCGCAUCAUUAGCAACUGGGGAGCUAGUGCUUCAUUCCUUAAGGGCAAGGAAGACAACCUUCAAACUGCCAGGACACGAGGAAAAAUAUUUGUAUUUGUAUUUGGUAAAGGGAAAAAAUAGAAAUCACUACACAACUCUAGAAAAGUCUUUUUAGAAAAGAAAGUAGUUUGACAAUACAUAUCAAAUAAGUUUAUAGCCUAGUGAUUUCCCUACUAGGGAUAUAACUUCAGGAACUAAUCAGAGAAUUUUUUUAGGGGCACCUAGGUGGCUCAGUGGUUGAGCCAUCGGGAAACUGCCCAAUAUGUUACAUUUUAAAAGCAGAUUGAAAAAACAAAAAAUAAAAAAUAAAAAAAAU